GUGUGUCAGUAUGUCUGUCUGUGUCAGUAUGUCUGUGUGUGUUAGUAUAUCUGACACACACACAGACAGACAUGCUAACACACACAGACAUACUGACACACAGACAGACAUA